AACUUCUUCAUACGCUAAACUCACCACCGUCGCAGAAGCGGAAGCUACCGGAGUAUAGAACUCGCCACCGUCGCAGGACCGGAACUUCAUACGCAACCGGAUGAAACCCCUAAAACCGAAUCAAUUUUCCCGCCGUCAGCUUCCCAUCAUGUUAGAAUUCUUGAAAAAUCUGGUAACUCGAUGGUACUGUAAGAUUUUCUUAUCCAUAUUUAAAAUAAUCAAAGAAAUCAUUCUUUAUUUUGAGAAACUCAAUAAAUCUUUUCUUUCUUGAAAAAUAAGAAUUUGUUUUCACUUCUUUAAGGAGAGAGGGGAUGAAUGCCCGAGACUAUUUCUGUCAAAGGGGUUUUCUUGGAUUAUUGCACAAGUGUUGUUGACUAGUUCUUAUAAAACAGACUUGAAUUUCUGUCAGGGGUUUCCUGAAUGAUUUCACCUGGGUUAUUGAUGAGUUGCUAUAAAACAGACUCGAUGCUGGUGCCACCAAGAUGUACUAAUUUACCCCUUCGAAGGUAUUGAAUGAAAAGUUGUGGAGUCGUUCUUGAAGCCCCACUCGCACGAUUCUAGUUUAAUUAUAAGAAGUUAAGUAUUUUUGAAUGAAGACACUCAAUUCGGCAAACUUCCGUAAAUGCCCUCAGUGACCAAUUUCCUUUAAAUGGCCUGUAGACCUUUCGACUUUGAUUGUUUCUUAAAAAUGGAAAAUUGUGCCAGGUAAGAGAAUGGUGAAUUAUAUGGUUCGUGUUUUCUGAUUUUGUUAAUGUUUUGAGGAUCUGUAGAGGUGGGCUGCUGCUAAGAACAUCAUAGUUAUGUGAGUAACGAUGAAAGUUGUGCUUUCAUGCAGUUUUUAUCUUUUACACUAUAGUUGCACCUGCAAAUUUGUGUGUUGCUUGCAAAAUAGGCAGUGACCAGAGAGGAGGCUCUUCUUUUGAAUUCUUAUGUUACUUCCUUUGCUACUUUGCACGAUGAGAGCAUAUGUUUUGUAUGAAAAUUGAUAUUCUCAGACGCUCCUUUUUGGUAUAUCAUAAUUUUCUUUAUUCACAACCCUUAGUUCUUUUUUCAAUGAGAUUUACUUCCUUAGAGGACUGUCCUUUCUAUUUUCUUAUGCUUAUAACUUGUGUACUCCUAGUUUGAACUUUAACCCAGUUUCAACUUUCCACCCGGUGUACCUGCUAUAUAUAGAUGGAUGACAAUGGUAAGUUUUAGUUUCUUUGACAUUGAUUUAAUGCAUUUUGAUGUGCAGAAAGUUCUACUCAAUUUGUAUUUUACUUUAUCACUUCUUUUGAACGAUCUGGUGUCUCAUGCUGAUGGGAGAAAGAUAUGGAAAAAGAGGUGCAGGAUCCAGAGUUGCUAAGCGACACUUGAACUUCCUUCCUGCAGCCAAGAAAUUGACUGUAGAAUGCACUGUCAGGAGUGCAAUUCGAUCUUCACAAAUUAUUCUGUGGGGAAGUGCUUCUGUAAAGCAUGAUCCUGAGUCCAGAUUCCUCUGUCAGAUCAAAAGUUCAAGUCAGUCAAUACUCAAAUGAUUGCUCUCUUGCUCGAUUGCACAAUCGGUGUGAACUGGAAAUCCAGAAACUCUGCACACCCCUUUAAUCUAAUGUUUUACCUAUGGAGGAUGAUUGCCCGUAUAACAAAUUCAGCGCUUCAGCUAGCUCCAGUUAUAAAUCAGACUGCCUAUAUACCUGUGAAUUAUGAGAUCAGGAAAAAGAGGUGCAGGACCCAGAGUUGCAAAGUGACACUUGAACUUCAUUCCUUCAGCCAAAGAAAUUGACCGGAGAGUGCACUGUCAGGAGUUAGAUUCGAUCUUCACGGAUUAUUCUGUGGGUAAGUACUUCUGAAAAGCAAGAUCCUGAGUCCAGAUUUCUCUGUCAGAUCAAAAGUUCAAGUCAGUCAAUUGAUUGCUCUCUUGCUCAUUGCACCGUCAGUGUGAACUGCAAAUCCAGAAACUGUGCGCACCCCCCUUCAUCUAAUGUUUUACCUACGGAGGAUGGUUUCCUGGAUAACGAAUUCAGUGCUUCAGCUAGCUCCAGUUACAAAUCAGACUGCCUGUUAGAUUCCGGAUGAGAGGAAUCUUGAGUAAUUGUAGCUGGCAGAUCAACAGAGAAUGCCUCAUUUAAGGGGACUCUUGAACUUUAUAACAGCUCAAAUGUGAUGCAUGAGAAAAGGAAACCAUUUAUGCUGAGCGGUUCUUUGCAAAGAAACCUGAUACAUGAUGAAUCAUCUUUUGAUAGUGAUGAAGAUAUUAAGUUUGGAAAACGUAAAUACAGAACUAAACAGAAUCGCCUUGAAUAUGAUUAUAGUGUUGAAUUUGAAAUAUAUUUAAGAAGUUCUCCUGGAGGCAAGGAAAUAUAUUUGAGAAGUUCUCCUGGUACAGAACUCAAAGCAAGGCAUUGCAGAGGUCAAAAUAGUUUCAGAAAAGUCUGCAUUAACCAAGGACAUUCUAGAAGAAUACGAUCAUCGGAUGGACUUCUUUGAACAGACUGCUGAAAUGUAUGAUUCCAUCCUGCCAUAUUUUAGUCCAGAACUGUGUCUCCUCUGCCAUCAGAUUCUUUGCUCAUGACCAGGUUUCAACAUGUUAAUCCUGACAUUGCUGAAAAUGGGAUCGGAACUUCUGUUGAACAUGAACGUUGUAUCACGUAUACUUGUGGAAACAUGGAACAUAAUUUCUUGGUUCCUGCCAUAAAUAAUAUGAGAUGAGACGACUGCUUGUUGCCACAUGCUGCAAAAAGAAAUCUCGAUUUUAUGCUUGUUCUAAAGAGGAUAUGAGCAUUAUAGGGGAAGUUGAUGCUUGGGAUGUUUAUAGUUCAGUUCCUUCUGCAUUCUAUUAUGAUGGAGAUGAUUUGUCACAUAUACAUUCUCAUGGUGAAGAAAACCUUAAAAAUUAUUUGACACGCGAGCUAUGCUCUUCUCUAGGGUGGAUAGGAACUCGGGUAAAUGGAUUGAUGCUGGAAAUCGAGGUAAAACAGAUGGGUUACCGGAGCCGGAGUUCCAAUUAGCAAUAAGAGAAAAAGAAAAAAAGAAGUGAAAUAAGCCUUAAAAGGCCAACCCCGAGCUUAUAAGGAAGAAGAUCAGAAUAAGUCAUUCAGGUCAUUCAUUUUACAAAAGCAUGAAGUUCUUUGCCACGAAUGAGUCUUCAAGAAUGGUAGCAGUAACUAACAAAUAUUAUGACUGUUCAUGAUGUGCCGCUCAUGCCAGGAGACUGCAGCAGUCUGCAGAGGCUAUCUGCUCGGAGCUUCCACAUCAAUAUAAUCAAUCUUCCACCCAAAGUCGUGGUGAUGGUGUAUUCUAUGAUGAAAGUUAGGUCGUGUUAUCAACUUUCUUGGAAGGGCCAAGUGUGAAAAUGAAACUAGUUAACAUCUGGAACAACAAAUUACAAGCUCAAGGAGAGUGUACAAGUACACACGAUGGGGAGUCAAUAGAAGGUGCAAUUAUGCUUGGAGAUGCGUUGUUACCUUCAGCAUGUUCUUUCAUUGUUGAGGAGUUGAGGCAGACUUCAUUAUGUUUAAAAUGAGUGGAAAAUUGCAUUUCAGGAAAUAUCUGGUUUGGAACAUCAUUUGAAGAUUGCUAAGUUAGGUUCAUUGAGUAGUGGUUCCUCCAAGGCAUGGCAUGAAUAGCAUCGUCAUGAAAUCAACCUAGAGCGCUUUGCAGAACGACUAAGAUCAUCCGUAUCCUAGUGUCUAAAAGCUCUCGUGUGAGUAUACAUAAAUUUGUUCUUCUUUCUACCUACCAAACAAUAAUUUGGCACUGCAGAUAUCUAUUUUGCGAUCAUCAUAUUGAAGGAGAAUUUGAUCUGGAGCACAAUGCAUCUAAACAGAUUCAACAAAUAAAUGCAUGUACUAAUCUAACUCUAGCCUUUGGUGGCAGCAACUCUCUUUCUCUCUUCCACACACAUAAAUGAAAAAUUGUAUACUGGAAUAGAUUGACAGUUUUUAUGCAAGUACUGCUACUCAGUGUAUACAAUAUAGGGAAAUGCUAUGAUAAUGAAAACAGUAAUUUGAUUGGAACAUCAUUCAUUUUGCUAGUUGUUAAUACAGGAUUUAGGAAGUCACUUUAACUAACAGGAAAUAAGAAUUGGGAUUAGGAAUUAUUGGGAAUAAAGCUACACUGAGUUAUAAAUACACAAGGGCUGAGAGAGAUUGCCCACCUCUGUUGCGAAGCGUGGUAGGCCUGCGCCGGGGGAGCAUACCAUAGGGAGGAAAGGGAGCGUGGACGGUGGAAGAGCCAGGGGAGGCUGGGUCAUUUGACGGAAAUGGAAGGCUUUUCCCUAUUAGAGAAGGCCCUAUGGAGUAAGGGGAAGUGGAUGAAUUCUUAGAAUAAGAGGGAGCUGUUCUCAAACCUUUUACGACACUUUAUAGCUUAUUCUCUUCAAAUAUUCCUCUUUCUGAAGGAUAUAUGUCUGUCUAAAUGUGGAAAACAAAGCAUGACAAACACUUCUUCUCUGGCUAGUUAUUCCAUUUUGAGGUAUCAAUAUCAGAGUUUAUAUUAGUUAUGUGGUCCAUGUUAAAAAGCAAGAAGGAUCUUUUAGGGUUUAAGCCUUUCCAGUGUCACUUGUGCGCAUUGUCUUUUUAUGUCCAUUUUAUGUUUUAAUUGGGUUAAUUAUAAAAAGUGAAUUACGAAUUGUGACUUCUAUCAGAAGAGCUUUUUUGUUGUAAUACCAUCAGUUACAAAACGAUGCUAGAGGUUCUCUCUCUUUGAGUUAUAAGGCCUUGAAGCUUGAAUAAAUUCCAACUUAAUUUGGAAAACUAUUCAUGACAUUAUUCAUGUUUUAGGAAAUACUCCACUAUCUAAAUAGAUUCUCUUGCAAAUGUUUCAAAAGAAAAUGAUAUUUGUUUUUUUUUGAUAAUACAGGUGGUUCCGUGUAUUUUGGGCGUUAGUCCAACUUAUGUGGACCUGUAAGAAUUUCUUCGACAUGUUAGUCCAUUGACACUCACAAGCUCUCAUAUUUCACUCCUUGGUUUAAUUUGUCUUUCUUGCUUAAAUGUUGUGUCAUAUUCUUUGAAUUUACUCCCCCGGUUUAACAUUACCUCCUUCCCUAAUUAAUGCCUUACUUUAGUUUAUUCUACACCUCUCAUUUUUUUUUUUUGAUUAUACAUCAACAAGAACCGGAGGGGAUGAAACCGAAGGCUCCCAAUGAGAUUCGCAUUCUCUAACAUCCAAUGGAAGGAGCGGAAACCACGCUGGAUCAUGAAUCAGGAUGAAGAUGAUCAGAAGAAGUCAUUCAGCGCAUCCAUUUUACCAAAGCAUGGAAAGUUUUUUUCCACAAAUGAGUCUUCAAGAAAAGCAGCAGUAAAUAACAAAUAUUGUGACUGUUCGUGAUGUGCCACUUAUGCCAGAAACUACCUAGGUAAGGAGACUGCAGCAUUCUGCAGAAGCUAUCUGCUCGGAGCUUCCACAUCAACGUAAUCAAUCUUCACCCCAAGUUGUGGUGACUGUGUAUUGUCUGAUGAAAGGCCAAGUAUGAAAAUGAAACUAGCUAACAUCUGGAAUAACAAAUUACAAGCUCAAAGGGGAGUGUACAAGUACACACAAUGGGGAUUCAAAAGAAGAACUUCUUCCUACGCUAUACUCACCACCGUCGCAGAACCGGAAGCUACCGGAGUAUAGAACUCGCCACCGUCGCAGAAGCGGAACCUACCGGAGUAUAAAACUCGCCACCGUCGCAGGACCGGAACAUCAUACGCAACCGGAUGAAAACCCCUAAAACCGAAUCGAUUUUCCCGCCGUCAGCUUCCCAUCAUGUUAGAAUUCUUGAAAAAUCUGGUAACUCGAUGGUACAGAACAUUUUGCUAUGAACUGGAUUAGGAAGCUAUCAAUGGCAUGUUAUGUAUUUGUUAGAAAUGCUGCUCAUCCCAGCUCAGAAUUUCUACUUUGUGUGUCAUAUGUAGGUUAAGAGAGGAGUAGUUUGAAUUAUUAUCUCAAAAAGGAAAAUAAAAAGAAGUUUGAAUGUUGAUAUAUACCGUCCUUAAGCUGACUUUUCUAAACGAUGCUUCACAAUCAAGCUAGAAAAUGACUAAGCAAGUGCUGUCCUAAUGAAAUGGUGGACUGAAGAGUGCACUGGUAGGAGUGAGAUUCGAUCUUCACAGAUUAUUCGGUGGGGAUGUGCUUCUGAAAAGCAUGAUCCUGAGUCCAGAUUCCUCUGUCAAAUCAUACGUUCAAGUCUGUCAAUUGAUUUCUCUCUUGCUCAUUGACAGUUGGUGUGAACUGGAAAUCCAGAAACGCUGCGCACCCCCAUUCAUCUAAUGUUUUUCCUAAGGAGGGUGAUUUCCUGGAUAAUAAAUUCAGUGCUUCAGGUAGCUAGCUCCAGUUGUAGAUCAGACUGCCUGUUAAUUUCCAGAUGGGAGGAAUUUUUAAUAAUUGUAGCUGGCAGAUCAACAGAGAAUGUCUCAUUUAAGGAAUCUCUUGUACUUGAUAACAGUUCAAAUGUGAUGCAUGAGAGAAGGAAACCAUUUAUGCGGAGCGGUUCUUUGUGCAGAAGCCUGAUACAUGAUGGAUCAUCUUUUGAUAGUUAUGAAGAUAUUAAGUUUGAAAAGAGUAAAUACAGAACAAAACAAAAUCACCUAUAAUAUGAUUUUAGUGUUGAAUUUGAAGUAGCUGAGGAUGUUAAUCAGGUCUUAAAUCAUAGGUCUCUUUCAGGUAAGGAAAUAUGAUUUGAGAAGUUUUGCUGGGGCAAAACUAAGAGCAAGGCAUUGCAGAGUCAAAAUAGAUUCAGAAAAGUCUGCAUUAACCAGGACAUUCUAGAAGAAUACGAUCAUCGGAUGGACUUCUUUGAACAGACUGCUGAAAUGUAUGAUUCCGUCCUGCCAUAUUUUAGUCCAGAACCGCGUCUCUUCUGUCACCAGAUAUCGGGACCUGGUUUCGAGAUGUUAAUCCUUACAUUGCUGAAAAUGGGAUUGAAACUUCUGUUGAACAUGAAGUUGGUCUCACGUAUAUUUUUAGAAACAUGGAACAUAAUUUCGUUGUUCCUGCCAUAAAUAAUUUGAGAAAAGACGACUGCUUGUUCCCAAAUCCUGCAAAAUUUGAUCUUGAUUUGUAUGCUUGUUCUAAAGAGGAUAUGGGGCAGUAUAGGGGCUCUUGAUGCGUGGGUUGUUUAUAGUUCAGGUCCUUCUGAAUUCUAUUAUGAAGGAGAUGAUUUGUCACUUUUACAUUCUCAUGGUGUAGAUAACCUUAAUAAUUAUUUGACACCACGAGCUAUGCUCUCCUCUAGGGUGGAUGGAACUCGGGUAAAUGGAUUGAUACGGGAAAUCAAGGUAAAACAGAUGAGCUUAUAGGAUGAAGAGGAUCAGAAGAAGUCAUUCAGCUCAUCCAUUUUACCAAAGCAUGGAGAAGUUUUUGCCACAAAUGAGUCUUCAAGAAAAGCAGCAGUAAAUAACAAAUAUUGUGACUGUUCGUGAUGUGCCACUUAUGCCAGAAACUACAGCGACAAGGAGACUGCAGCAUUCUGCAGAAGCUAUCUGCUCGGAGCUUCCACAUCUAUGUAAUCAAUCUUCACCCCAAGUUGUGGUGACUGUGUAUUGUCUGAUGAAAGGCCAAGUAUGAAAAUGAAACUAGUUAACAUCUGGAAUAACAAAUUACAAGCUCAAAGGAGAGUGUACAAGUACACUCAAUGGGGAUUCAAAAGAAGGUUCUGUGUAGCUGGGGUGUUAGGGCAUCUCCAAUCCAAACACCUAAUUUUACAUCAAAUUUGGUGUUAACCAAAUUUACUGUAAUCAACUCCAAUCUACUGCAUCGAAAAAUAAUUUAUUUUCUCUCUUUAUUAUUAUAUUAUUAUUUUUUAUUUCAUUUAUAUUUUUUUAUUUCAUAAAACAAAUUCUUUCUAUGGUUCUCCUUUUAUAAUCGUUUAAUAUAAAAUUAUUUUGUAUCA